UGAUGUUCUUCAUGACGGCGUCGUGGAUUCGGUGUGACUGACGGCGGUUUGUGGAUUCGGAUCGUGAGCUUCGUGGAUUUGGAGUGGAGGCGUUUCGUGGAUUCGGAACGUGGUGUUCGUGGAUUCGAACGUGAGGGCGUGGACAACCCGGAGGGUAGCGCGAAGAUUCAUAGGAGGUUAAGAGAGGUUGAGUUCGUGGAGUCGGUAAUCACCUUGUAAUAUUUUUUCUUAGUGAAUUAUUUUUUC
rnacentral:lncRNA from 1 species